rnacentral:rRNA from 1 species
UGGGGAAUAUUGGGGCAAUGGGGCGAAAGCCUGACCCAGCAACGCCGCGUGAAGGAAGAAGGCCUUCGGGUUGUAAACUUCUUUUAAGAGGGACGAAGAAGUGACGGUACCUCUUGAAUAAGCCACGGCUAACUACGUGCCAGCAGCCGCGGUAAUACGUAGGUGGCGAGCGUUAUCCGGAUUUACUGGGUGUAAAGGGAGCGCAGACGGCAUGGCAAGCCAGAUGUGAAAGGUGGGGGCUCAACCCCCAAGCUGCAUUUGGAACUGUCAAGCUAGAGUAUCGGAGAGGUAAGUGGAAUUCCUAGUGUAGCGGUGAAAUGCGUAGAUAUUAGGAGGAACACCAGUGGCGAAGGCGGCUUACUGGACGAUAACUGACGUUGAGGCUCGAAAGCGUGGGGAGCAAACAGGAUUAGAUACCCUGGUAGU